CGUAGGUGGCAAGCGUUGUCCGGAAUUAUUGGGUGUAAAGGGUGCGUAGGCGGGAAUAUAAGUCGGAUGUGAAAUGCCCGGGCUCAACUCGGGAGCUGCAUUCGAAACUAUAUUUCUUGAGUGAAGUAGAGGCAAGCGGAAUUCCUAGUGUAGCGGUGAAAUGCGUAGAUAUUAGGAGGAACACCAGUGGCGAAGGCGGCUUGCUGGGCUUUUACUGACGCUGAGGCACGAAAGCAUGGGGGAGCAAACAGGAUUAGAUACCCUGGUAGUCCAUGCUGUAAACGAUGAAUGCUAGGUGUGGGGGGUCUGACCCCUUCCGUGCCGGAGUUAACACAAUAAGCAUUCCACCUGGGGAGUACGGCCGCAAGGUUG
rnacentral:rRNA from 1 species